GUUAGCAGGAUGGAGUUGGCUGG
rnacentral:piRNA from 1 species